rnacentral:rRNA from 1 species
ACGACUCUCGGCAACGGAUAUCUCGGCUCUCGCAUCGAUGAAGAACGUAGCGAAAUGCGAUACUUGGUGUGAAUUGCAGAAUCCCGUGAACCAUCGAGUCUUUGAACGCAAGUUGCGCCCGAGGCCGCCAGGCCGAGGGCACGUCUGCCUGGGUGUCACGC